rnacentral:rRNA from 1 species
AUUGAACGCUGGCGGCAGGCCUAACACAUGCAAGUCGAGCGGUAGCACAAGGGAGCUUGCUCCCCGGGUGACGAGCGGCGGACGGGUGAGUAAUGUCUGGGAAACUGCCUGAUGGAGGGGGAUAACUACUGGAAACGGUAGCUAAUACCGCAUAACGUCGCAAGACCAAAGUGGGGGACCUUCGGGCCUCACGCCAUCGGAUGUGCCCAGAUGGGAUUAGCUAGUAGGUGGGGUAACGGCUCACCUAGGCGACGAUCCCUAGCUGGUCUGAGAGGAUGACCAGCCACACUGGAACUGAGACACGGUCCAGACUCCUACGGGAGGCAGCAGUGGGGAAUAUUGCACAAUGGGCGCAAGCCUGAUGCAGCCAUGCCGCGUGUGUGAAGAAGGCCUUCGGGUUGUAAAGCACUUUCAGCGAGGAGGAAGGCGUUAAGGUUAAUAACCUUGACGAUUGACGUUACUCGCAGAAGAAGCACCGGCUAACUCCGUGCCAGCCGCCGCCGUAA